GACGAACGCUGGCGGCGUGCUUAACACAUGCAAGUCGAACGGAAAGGCCCUGCUUUUGUGGGGUGCUCGAGUGGCGAACGGGAGAGUAACAUGUGAGUAACCUGCCCUUGACUUUGGGAUAACUUCAGGAAACUGGGGCUAAUACAGGAUAGGAGCUCCUGCUGCAUGGUGGGGGUUGGAAAGUUUCGGGGGUUGGGGCUGGAGUCGCGGCUUAUCAGCUUGUUGGUGGGGUAGUGGCUUACCAAGGCUUUGGCGGGUAGCCGGCCUGAGAGGGUGACCGGCCACAUGGGGACUGAGAUACGGCCCAGACUCCUACAGGAGGCAGCAGUGGGGAAUAUUGCACAAUGGGCGGAAGCCUGAUGCAACAACGCCGCGUGCGUGAUGACGGCCUUCGGGUUGUAAACCGCUUUCGCCUGUGACGAAGCGGGAGUGACGGUAAUGGGUAAAGAAGCACCGGCUAACUACGUG
rnacentral:rRNA from 1 species